rnacentral:rRNA from 1 species
GGAUCAGGUAGGAAUACCCGCUGAACUUAAGCAUAUCAAAGCGGA